GGGAAGGUGGCUCAGUGGUAGAGUGCUUGCCUUGCAUGCAUGAGACCCUGGGUUCGAUUCCUCCCCA
rnacentral:tRNA from 1 species